rnacentral:misc_RNA from 1 species
CCAAAUUAAACACCUCUGUCAACUGAACGGCUAAGACUCAGGCGGUGGUUUUGUCCUUUCAUUUUCCGAAGCACUACUAUUAUUGGGUGAAAAUGGAAAAGGGAGGAAAAGGGUAUUCACUUCCCAGUAAAGGGCUCAAAUCUUCUCUCAAGUCCACUCCUGCUAAUGAUGCGUCAAUAAAAGGGAAAGAUGACAGCUCUGCAAAGUCAAAGAGAGGAAGGAAAGUUCAGUUCAAUUCUGAAGCUGACAAAUUUGAUUUCUUAUCAAAAUCUAAUGGAAAGUUGGAUGCCCCAGCUGCUAAAGGUAAUUUGAGCAAAGGGGGUAAAGGUGACAGGAUUUCAAAUAUUGGGAAGGCGCCUUCGACUAAAGAACCACAACCACUUGAACUGAAAGUUGAGCAGGAAAUUCCUAAGAAUGCCAAAUGUUUGAUGCACUGUGAGGCUUCACAAAUCUUGCAUGGAAUUCAGGGGCAGAUGGUUCUACUAUCUCGAGAUCCCACAGUCAAACUUCCAGUGUCAUUUGACAAGGCCCUGCAUUAUGCAAAGACUGGUGCUCGUUAUACAAAUCCCCAAUCUGUCAGACAAGUUCUUGAGAGCCUUAAAAAGCAUGGUGUCUCUGAUGGGGAGAUAUGUGUGCUAGCUAACGUUUGUCCUGAAAGUGUUGAUGAAGUUUUUGCACUAAUCCCAUCCUUGAAG